AUGGCAGCAGCCGAGGCCUCGAACUGCAUCAUAGAGGUUUCCUGUGGCCAAGCAGAAAGUAGUGAGAAGCCCAUCGCUGAGGACAUGACAUCCAAAGACUACUACUUUGACUCCUAUGCCCACUUUGGCAUCCACAAGGAGAUGCUGAAGGAUGAGGUGUGCACCCUUACAUACCGCAACUCCAUGUUUCACAAUCGGCAUCUUUUCAAAGACAAGGUGGUCCUGGAUGUGGGCUCAGGUACUGGCAUCCUCUGCAUGUUCGCUGCCAAGGCUGGGGCCCACAAGGUUAUUGGGAUUGAGUGUUCCAGUAUCUCCGAUUAUGCUUGUGAGCUCAAGUACUGGCCUGAGCUCAGACACCAACUGUUUAUUUGA